UUAAAAACGGACACACACAAUAACAAUUAUAUUAUUUCCAGGAAUUUGAUGUAGAUAUCUACGAUGAAACGUACGCGAUUCCGAGAGCUAUCCUCAGACUGGUGGGACUUCGAAUCACCAGAGAUGAUUCACCAACUGUCAGGUUGCUAUGGAACAUCUUCUACUGGUUCGAGUUCGCGAACCUGUUCAUCGUGACGUGGCUGGAGCUGAUCAAGAUGGCGCAGACGGCUCGAGGCGGCUCCUUCCAGGAUGCUAUAGAGAUAUUCUGCAUGAUGCCUUGCGUUGGAUAUCUGCUACUUGCCAUGGCGAAAUCCUACAAGAUUGUUUACCACCGCUCCGUCUACGAGAACCUGAUCGAAGAGUUGCGGAGUAUGUGGCCGCGGGGGGAGGUGUCGGAUGAGGAGCAUCAGAUCCUCAGCACGGCGCUCAGACACCUCAACUAUGUUA